GGGAAAAAAAAAAAAAAAAAAAAAGGGGGCGGGGGGGGGGGAAAAAAAAAAAAAAAAAAAAAAAAAAAAAAAAGGCAGGGAACAGCCCCGCGGAUGGUGGUGCGGGAGCGGAGGGGCUGGCACGGAGCGCAGGGCGGGCAGAGACACGGGGCCCCCUCAGCGUGUGGAACACUGGGCCUCACGUAAACCAGGCAGGAGAGAUGUUUCCAAGAUGGGAUCAUUUCACACCACAACUCAUGUACUGAAACCCUAAUUAACAUUGAAAAGUCUGUGCUGUGCCAUGCCCUCAAAUCCAUGGAAUUUGGGUAAGUGUUUCUAAUAGACUUACUCAAAAUAAUAAUUCCAAGGACCAGCUCAUACCCCAGAAUCACACCAGCACUGUCUCCCCUUCCAUAAUAAUUUGCCUGCCCGUGUCUCCUUUGAUUGCUGUGGUGUGCAUUCUGUUAAACCUGGGGAGGUCCACAGAGACAUUUCUGUGUGUUUGAUCCAGUUUGCAGUUCUCCAUUUGGUCCCAAAAUCAAUGCAGAGCCCUCCUUUCUCCCGACUUCCCACCCAAAUUAAACGAAGCUUUUACAAUGUUUAAAUUUCAGCUUCCUUCCCGAGUCUGUUCAGAACUCUUUUUUUCUUAACUAUGGUUUUAUUUUUCAAACCCUGGUUCAGAACUGUUCCAACCUGCUGUUAUUUGCCAGUUCUUUAACAGCUGACUGACAACCAUGGCUGCUCCUUCCCGAGGAAGGACCCAGGUAGCAGAAUAUCAAGAUGGUUCAUUAAAGGAAAUAAAUCAGUAAAAGCACACUGAACAGAAAUGCUCAGGGAGGGCAGGCAGAGCAAAAAGUAGGAGUAGCUCAGUCUCCUUAGUUACAUUCUGCAUUCUCACAGUUUCUUUCGGUUUCCCUGUUAUUAUGGAACAAAAGAGUUAUUUUAAACGACUUCUGAGAACAUCACAUAAAAUUAGCAAAACUGUUGGAGUCUGAGGAGAAUAUAAUUGACAGUGUUUUAAGGUGAGGGGAACUGCUUCUGAGAGGCUGCAUGUAAUUCAGGACACAAAGGCAGCAAAGUCCAUACACCUGAGUUCCCAACUAAUGAUCAUCAGGGAGAUGAUCCUGAACUUCUUACUUGUGGUGAGGAUUGGGAUGGUUGAUCUCAAGUGGGUUCAAGGACAGUUGGCUCAGAAUUGCUGAGAGACUUUGCAAGUCCCUCCAUGGGAACUGAGGGACAACGAUGUGAAAUUAUUGAGCCACUAACCCUGGGCAGCUGGUGGAAAGAAGGGAGAUGAAACGCUGGGGUUGGUGGAACCUGGAUCCAGUGUUCCUUGCAGUCAGCACCAGAAUUUUACACUGUGCUAAAUUCCUACAGCGUGGUACAAAUA